rnacentral:rRNA from 1 species
AGCCUACGGGCGGCAGCAGUGAGGGAUAUUGCGCAAUGGGGGAAACCCUGACGCAGCGACGCCGCGUGGGUGAUGAAGGUCUUCGGAUUGUAAAACCCUUUUGCCACUGACGAGGAAGGACGGUAGGUGGCGAAUAAGCCUCGGCUAACUACGUGCCAGCAGCCGCGGUAAAACGUAGGAGGCGAGCGUUAUCCGGAGUUACGGGGCGUAAAGCGUGCGUAGGCGGUCGUGUAAGUGGGACGUGAAAGCCCCGUGCUAAACGCGGGGAGGACGACUCAGACUGCAGGACUGGAGCGGCUCAGAGGCGCGUGGAAUUCGGGGUGUAGCGGUGAAAUGUGUAGAGAUCCCGAGGAACACCAGUGGGGCAACCGGCGCGCUGGGAGCAGGCUGACGCUGAGGCACGAAAGCGUGGGGAGCGAACGGGAUUAGAUACCCUUGUAGUC